AUCAGCUGAUUAGUCCUAAAUAGGACGAAACGCGCGUCCUGGAU
rnacentral:hammerhead_ribozyme from 1 species